rnacentral:lncRNA from 14 species
CUUCCCAUUCACACCCUCCCCCAAUAAAUUAUUACAUCUUAAGCUUCAUUCUCUUGUCCUCUCUUACGCAGGGGAUUAAAGCCUUUUCCAGUUCCAAAAAACCUGGCAAUAAAGCCCCUAUCCAAAAGAGGUAUUUUUGCAUUGAAUUCCUACACAACAAGGGGAAAAAAUCCAGCAGCACCAAGAAAACCUCCAGGUUAUUUUCCAAAGCAGCGUUUUUCCUCUAUUAACUCCUUAUAUGUUUUACCAAAGCAACUUACUCGGCCGGGCUGAACUGAACAGCAUAGUAUUGGUUUGAGGAGGAGAUGGAAGCAACCAGUGGACAAGGAGGGAGGCAAAGACCUAAAACCACAUUCAGAAACAGCUUUUGGAGCUUCAACAGCCUCCACGGGGGAACCCGAGUCAAGGUAACAGGGUGGUUGAGGCUCAGAUGAUACUAACCCGUCUCCAUUCAAAUACCAACUGCUUUAUCACGCACAGUAAACCAGCCUGCCUCAGAACUACGGCGAAGCCAGCUGGUAACCCACCGGGUUUGCCAUUAGGACGCCUGAUCUGACACGCUGGAGCUUUAUUUUUGAUACCCAACGUGGUGAGCAACUUGUUAAAAGCAGCCGAGCAACCCCUGGAGUGCGAAACCUGCAAUCAACACAGCUUGGAUGUGCUUUUUAGAUGGAAAAAAAGCCACGGAGACGCCACUUUUUCAAUGCGUAAGGAAAAAAACGCAGCCAUGUGACUGCGCCUGAUUCUCACCACCCCAGUGUCUGGAGGCAAAAAGCGAGGAGGCACUCCUUCGGGCUUCCUGUGCUGAAGGCUCUGUGGAAACAAACCGCUCACUCGGGGUGGGGUGGGGAGUUCAAGCACUUUAACCACAAGAAUCAACUCACUAACACUAAAGAUACCGAGAGGAAGAUUCGGGACGGAGUUGCCACCAGUUUACUUGCGAGACCCCCGGCGAGAUGCUGGUGGUGGAAGGGUGGCAGAGCCGCGCUGCCGUUGGAGCGGCAGGAGCUCAACGGGUGAAGGCCGGGGCUUCAGGCGCGGGGGCAGCGGGAGCGCAGGCCCGGGCUCGCCCCUCGUAGCCAGGUGCUCCAGGAUACUUGUCCUCCUGCCAACUGCAGUGCUCCGUGGGACACUUCCCAAAGUGUGACCCUGAAGGAGGUAAGGGAGAGAGUGGCACUUCAGAAUAAAGACAAGAGUAGAAUAGGAACA